UGGGCAACCUGCCCCAGACUCAGGGAUAACCCCGGGAAACCGGGGCUAAUACCCGAUACUCCGAUCGAACCACAUGGCUCGAUCGGGAAAGCUCCGACGGUCUGGGAUGAGCUCGCGGCCUAUCAGCUAGUUGGUGUGGGUAAUGGCCCACCAAGGCGACGACGGGUAGCCGGCCUGAGAGGGUGACCGGCCACACUGGGACUGAGACACGGCCCAGACUCCUACGGGAG
rnacentral:rRNA from 1 species